rfam:Alligator mississippiensis ScZkoYb_96, whole genome shotgun sequence.
ACUGUUCAUUGAUAAGACCAUGGAACAAGCACUGUAUAUAGUGUCUGACAUCCAUGAGGAAACAUGCCAUGCUGCCUUCCUUCUGAGAACAUC